rnacentral:rRNA from 1 species
GUUUUGGUCGAUGAACGGUGCUUGCACUGAGAUUCGACUUAAAACGAGUGGCGGACGGGUGAGUAACACGUGGGUAACCUGCCCUUAAGUGGGGGAUAACAUUUGGAAACAGAUGCUAAUACCGCAUAAAUCCAAGAACCGCAUGGUUCUUGGCUGAAAGAUGGCGCAAGCUAUCGCUUUUGGAUGGACCCGCGGCGUAUUAGCUAGUUGGUGAGGUAACGGCUCACCAAGGCGAUGAUACGUAGCCGAACUGAGAGGUUGAUCGGCCACAUUGGGACUGAGACACGGCCCAAACUCCUACGGGAGGCAGCAGUAGGGAAUCUUCCACAAUGGACGCAAGUCUGAUGGAGCAACGCCGCGUGAGUGAAGAAGGCUUUCGGGUCGUAAAACUCUGUUGUUGGAGAAGAAUGGUCGGCAGAGUAACUGUUGUCGGCGUGACGGUAUCCAACCAGAAAGCCACGGCUAACUACGUGCCAGCAGCCGCGGUAAUACGUAGGUGGCAAGCGUUAUCCGGAUUUAUUGGGCGUAAAGCGAGCGCAGGCGGUUUUUUAAGUCUGAUGUGAAAGCCCUCGGCUUAACCGAGGAAGCGCAUCGGAAACUGGGAAACUUGAGUGCAGAAGAGGACAGUGGAACUCCAUGUGUAGCGGUGAAAUGCGUAGAUAUAUGGAAGAACACCAGUGGCGAAGGCGGCUGUCUGGUCUGUAACUGACGCUGAGGCUCGAAAGCAUGGGUAGCGAACAGGAUUAGAU